rnacentral:rRNA from 1 species
GAUGAACGCUGGCGGCGUGCCUAAUACAUGCAAGUCGAGCGAACAGAUGAUGAGCUUGUUCCUCUGACGUUAGCGGCGGACGGGUGAGUAACACGUGGAUAACCUACCUAUAAUACUGGGAUAAUUUCGGGAAACCGGAGCUAAUACCAGAUAAUAUAUCGAACCGCAUGGUUCAAUAGUGAAUGACGGUUUUGCUGUCACUUAUAGAUGGAUCCGUGUCGGAUUAGCUAGUUGGUAAGGUAACGGCUUACCAAGGCAACGAUGCGUAGCCGACCUGAGAGGAUGAUCGGCCACACUGGAACUGAGACACGGUCCAGACUCCUACGGGAGGCAGCAGUAGGGAAUCUUCCGCAAUGGGCGAAAGCCUGACGCAGCAACGCCGCGUGAGUGAUGAAGGUCUUCGGAUCGUAAAACUCUGUUAUUAGGAAAGAAAAGCUGUGUAAGUAACUAUGCACGUCUUGACGGUACCUAAUCAGAAAGCCCCGGCUAACUACGUG